AAAUUGAAGAGUUUGAUCAUGGCUCAGAUUGAACGCUGGCGGCAGGCCUAACACAUGCAAGUCGAGCGGUAGCACAGAGAGCUUGCUCUCGGGUGACGAGCGGCGGACGGGUGAGUAAUGUCUGGGAAACUGCCUGAUGGAGGGGGAUAACUACUGGAAACGGUAGCUAAUACCGCAUAACGUCGCAAGACCAAAGUGGGGGACCUUCGGGCCUCAUGCCAUCAGAUGUGCCCAGAUGGGAUUAGCUAGUAGGUGGGGUAACGGCUCACCUAGGCGACGAUCCCUAGCUGGUCUGAGAGGAUGACCAGCCACACUGGAACUGAGACACGGUCCAGACUCCUACGGGAGGCAGCAGUGGGGAAUAUUGCACAAUGGGCGCAAGCCUGAUGCAGCCAUGCCGCGUGUGUGAAGAAGGCCUUCGGGUUGUAAAGCACUUUCAGCGGGGAGGAAGGCGUUAAGGUUAAUAACCUUGGCGAUUGACGUUACCCGCAGAAGAAGCACCGGCUAACUCCGUGCCAGCAGCCGCGGUAAUACGGAGGGUGCAAGCGUUAAUCGGAAUUACUGGGCGUAAAGCGCACGCAGGCGGUCUGUCAAGUCGGAUGUGAAAUCCCCGGGCUCAACCUGGGAACUGCAUUCGAAACUGGCAGGCUAGAGUCUUGUAGAGGGGGUAGAAUUCCAGGUGUAGCGGUGAAAUGCGUAGAGAUCUGGAGGAAUACCGGUGGCGAAGGCGGCCCCCUGGACAAAGACUGACGCUCAGGUGCGAAAGCGUGGGGAGCAAACAGGAUUAGAUACCCUGGUAGUCCACGCCGUAAACGAUGUCGAUUUGGAGGUUGUGCCCUUGAGGCGUGGCUUCCGGAGCUAACGCGUUAAAUCGACCGCCUGGGGAGUACGGCCGCAAGGUUAAAACUCAAAUGAAUUGACGGGGGCCCGCACAAGCGGUGGAGCAUGUGGUUUAAUUCGAUGCAACGCGAAGAACCUUACCUGGUCUUGACAUCCACAGAACUUUCCAGAGAUGGAUUGGUGCCUUCGGGAACUGUGAGACAGGUGCUGCAUGGCUGUCGUCAGCUCGUGUUGUGAAAUGUUGGGUUAAGUCCCGCAACGAGCGCAACCCUUAUCCUUUGUUGCCAGCGGUUCGGCCGGGAACUCAAAGGAGACUGCCAGUGAUAAACUGGAGGAAGGUGGGGAUGACGUCAAGUCAUCAUGGCCCUUACGACCAGGGCUACACACGUGCUACAAUGGCAUAUACAAAGAGAAGCGACCUCGCGAGAGCAAGCGGACCUCAUAAAGUAUGUCGUAGUCCGGAUUGGAGUCUGCAACUCGACUCCAUGAAGUCGGAAUCGCUAGUAAUCGUAGAUCAGAAUGCUACGGUGAAUACGUUCCCGGGCCUUGUACACACCGCCCGUCACACCAUGGGAGUGGGUUGCAAAAGAAGUAGGUAGCUUAACCUUCGGGAGGGCGCUUACCACUUUGUGAUUCAUGACUGGGGUGAAGUCGUAACAAGGUAACCGUAGGGGAACCUGCGGUUGGAUCACCUCCUUACCUUAAAGAA
rnacentral:rRNA from 1 species